CAGAAUCCUCAGCACUUUGCAAACGAGGAAAUGAAAACAAAGGAAGGGAGAAAUUAAAAAGCCCGGCAGAAAGGAUAAAACUGGGGACAUCUGAUCUGGAACGCUACCAUUACGGUGCUCUCGUGACAUUCGUACUGCAGUACUGACUUGGGAGGCUGCCCUACUUCAGGGCCCAAAAUAACCCUUCAGAGAAGCAUAGGACAAGAAACGAGGAGUUCCCUUCAUACUUUUUUCCCUUACUUAAAUGUGUAAUUUUCAUGGAAGCACAUCCGACUUCACACUCCAAGGAAACAGCCCAGAAGCCAUACUGGACUCCCAUUCUGACAGGGACACCGAAGCUUGCAUCAUCCCAUUGGCAUCCAUCUCGCCGUUUCCAUUCCCCCUGAGUAAUGCUGGAACGCUGGGCCUGGCAGCGCUGCGUCUGUCUCAGAAUGCAGCUCAGGAGUGGCUCUCUGGACUGCAGAGAUCAGAAGAAGCUGCACUUUGCCAGCCUUCCCCAGCUGAGCACAUAGCCUGCUUCUUCCUUUCUUUCCUUAUAUCUAUAUAUGUCUAUUUCCUUGCUUUGCACUGGGAGCUGCCAUGGCGCUUCGAUCUGCAAAGCCUUCUCAAUGCUAAGGACUGAUGUUACAACUCUCAUUCUUGCAGUCUGAAUGCCUCGAGGUACAGUCAGUGCUUUUGUCCCAUUGCCCAAUGACCCAUGAAAGGGCUGUUCUUCCAGAGCUUCUGGCUGUUGUAUGUUUGUUUAUUCUGGGAUCAGGACCGUGAGGCCUGUAGCACAACCAGACUGAAGCCCAGCAUGAAAUUGGAGGUUUCCUGGAGAUCCUGGCCUGCUGCAGGGACCUCACAAAUAACUUGACCUAGCAUUGUCUGUUAGAGAAAGCUCAUGGAAGGCUCUGCUGAACCCUGUGCUGUGUGUGAUGAUCUAGAGGAGGCUGUGCAGUUCUGCUCUUUGCCUGGAAAGUCACAGGGUUCCUCCUGUACUGCCUCAACAGCAGAACUCUGUGGUACUGUGAGGUACUGCAAGAAUUUCCAGCCCUUCCAGGAAUGGGGUAACUGCCUGUAAUUUCAUGCAGUCAGCACAGAGGUCCCAAAGGCCCCAACUCACAGCUUGCACCGCAGGAUACAACGUGUUGUUGCUGCUGUCUGGAUUUGAGAUGCUUUGAGCCAAGCAGGAAAAUGAAACUGUUCCAAAAGGCAGCAAAAACAACAACAACAACAAAAAAAGAAAGUGACUUAAAUUCUAAGCCUGUGCCUUGGGAUCAAGGAAGUUUACUAGACAGGUUUUAAACUGCACAUUUCUGUGGUCCUUCAAAAAUGCAUCCUGACUGGAAUGUGAAACAGGAGAAUUGAGUGGUGAAAUUGGGGCCACAUAUUUUCUGCGCUUCGGUUUAUUGACACAGAAGACAGUGGUGAUUUGUAGCCUGAUGAGAACUAACAGUCCCACCAGUGAGGUCUGCGAGUUGGAUCCGCUCCUAGGAAGCGAAGGAGCGAUGUCCUGCUGGGCAUGCUCCCACUAACAGCCUCUGAAUUCUAUCCAGACCUACCUCCAGAUGGCAUAAUUAUUCCAACAACAGAAGAUGAAGACCAUAAGCAGCAGGGACUGACUAAUACCUACAGGGCUUGCUUCUCAUUAUAUUCGUGGAUGAAGUAACGGAGUAAGCAUGAGAAAUCCUUAGAAGUGUCUGCCUCCCUAGAACUGCUUUAACAUAGCAACUGGUGGAGGUACAGACUUCUUACUUUUGCCAAGUAGUUACAGCAGCAGAAGAUAAUGUGUGAUUUGUACACGGUGCUCAGCAUCACUGAGAAAUACCCAGGGCAGAUGGAUAUCUGAACACGUGCUCUUUACUGUCAUAGAGAAUGCAGUAUUGUUAAUUUCCUUGGAUAAAUAGAAAAAAAAAAAAACAAAGGAGAUGAAGAUAUCUGGUAAUCCCAUUGUUGUCUUUUUUAAUAUUCUAGUGACAGGUUUCAUUCCUUAUUGAUAGCCUCUAGAGCACAUAGACAAUACUGUGGAGUUCAAAAGCUGCUCCAUUAAUAGCAUUUGAUUAGUGUUAUAUCUGAGGGACCACAAAGCUGCUUGGGUGUCCUCAUUACAGUAAUGUUCUUUUUCUCUUGGCAUACAAAAGC
ensembl:lncRNA